rnacentral:rRNA from 1 species
GACGAACGCUGGCGGUGUGCCUAAUACAUGCAAGUAGAACGCUGAAGAGAGGAGCUUGCUCUUCUUGGAUGAGUUGCGAACGGGUGAGUAACGCGUAGGUAACCUGCCUUGUAGCGGGGGAUAACUAUUGGAAACGAUAGCUAAUACCGCAUAACAAUAGGUGACACAUGUCAUUUAUUUGAAGGGGGCAAUUGCUGCACUACAAGAAGGACCUGCGUUGUAUUAGCUAGUAGGUGAGGUAACGGCUCACCUAGGCGACGAUACAUAGCCGAACUGAGAGGGUGGACGGCCCACCUGGGACUGAGACACCGCCCAGACUCCUACGGGAGGCAGCCAUAGGGAAUCUUCGGCCAUGGGGGCAACCCUGGCCGAGCAACGCCGCGGGAGUGAAGAAGGUUUUCGGAUCCGAAAGCUCUUUUGUAAGUCAAGAACGAGUUUUGGAGUGGAAAGUUCACACUGUGACGGUAGCUUAUCAGAAAGGGACGGCUAACUACGUG